rnacentral:lncRNA from 1 species
GGGUUUAGAGUUUGGGUUUAGAAUUUAGGUUAUAGGGUUUAGGGUUUAGAUUUAAGGUUUCGGAUUUAGAAUUUAGGAUUUAGUUAGUAGCGUUAGCGUCAUUAAAAUUGGCGUCAUUAUUUUUUUGAAAUUAAUUUAGAUUUUUUUUAAAAAAAUUAAUGUAUUUUAUUAUUAAUCUAUGUGGCGUUUUGUUCUUAGUAAAACUAAUUCUAAAAUUUAACAUAACAUCUGACAAAAUAAUAUUUAAUUUAGGAAAAC